CUAGUAAUCGCAGAUCAGCAUGCUGUGGUGAAUACGUUCCCGGGCCUUGUACACACCGCCCGUCACACCAUGGGAGUCGGUAACACCCAAAGUUGGUAGUCUAACCGCAAGGAGGACGCCGCCUAAGGUGGGAUUGAUGACUGGGGGUGAAGUCGUAACAAGGUAUC
rnacentral:rRNA from 1 species